UAUAUUUUAGUGUAUGGGGCACAAAAAUUUUUGAUAUUUUUAGUAAUAGUUCAAUUCUAUUAAAUAUAA